UCACGUCCAUGAUGACCUCAUUCCCCUCCACCCCUCCUGGCGGCCUAUAAAAGGGGCUGCGGGCUUCCUGGCAGACCCCUGAAUGCUGGACUAAACGACGUUCUUCUGCUGACUGCGUACAUCAGCAGUCUUUGUUUUCUGGGGGGUUCUGCCGACUCCAACAAGGGGACGAACUGAGCCGCAGCCAGCAGCGCGGAGAGGGAACUGGGCAGAGCCGAGCCGCGAGGGACCAGGCUGGACAUAAAAGGCUAGCCGCGCUGCGGACUGGCGAGACAAGACGUGCCGCGCAGACGGAAGAGACUAGCGCGCAGACCGGCCCACUGAAAAGACUAGCCGCGCUGCGCGGACCAACGGAUCAAAAUUAUUAGCCACGCUACGUGGACCAAGGGACCAAAAAUAUUAGCUGCGCUGCGCAGACCAACGGACCAAAAAUAUUAGCUGCGCUGCGCGGACCAACGGACCGAAAAUAUUAGCCGCGCUGCACGGACCGGUGGACUAGAGACACCAGCCGCGCUGCGCAGACCGGUGGACUAGAGAUCAGCCGCGUUCCGCGGACCGGUGGACUAAAGAGACCAGCCGCGUUCCGCGGACCGGUGGACUAGAGAUCAGCCGCGUUCCGCGGACCGGUGGACUAGAGACACCAGCCGCGCUGCGCAGACCGGUGGACUAGAGAUCAGCCGCGCUGCGCGGACCGGUGGACUAGAGACACCAGCCACGCUGCGCAGACCGGUGGACUAAAGAUCAGCCGCGUUCCGCGGACCGGUGGACUAAAGAGACCAGCCGCGCUGCGCGGACCGGUGGACUAAAGAUCAGCCGCGUUCCGCGGACCGGUGGACUAAAGAUCAGCCGCGCUGCGCGGACCGGUGGACUAGAGACACCAGCCGCGUUCCGAGGACCGGUGGACUAGAGAUCAGCCGCGCUGCACGGACCAGUGGACUAAAGAGACCAGCCACGCUGCGCAGACCGGUGGACUAAAGAGACCAGCCGCGCUGCACGGACCAGUGGACUAAAGAGACCAGCCGCGCUGCGCGGACCGGUGGACUAAAGAGACCAGCCGCGUUCCGCGGACCGGUGGACUAGAGACACCAGCCGCGUUCCGAGGACCGGUGGACUAGAGAUCAGCCGCGCUGCGCGGACCGGUGGACUAAAGAGAUCAGCCGCGCUGCACGGACCAGUGGACUAAAGAGACCAGCCGCGCUGCGCGGACCGGUGGACUAAAGAGACCAGCCGCGUUCCGAGGACCGGUGGACUAAAGAGACCAGCCGCGCUGCGCGGACCGGUAGACCGAAAAGACAAGCUGCGCCGCGGACCUGUGAACUCAAGAGACUAGCCGCGCCGCACGGACCGGCAGACCUUUUUGAAAAGAACAGCCACGCUGCAAGGACCGGUGGACUAAAGACACCAGCCACGCCACGUGGACCGGCAGACCUUUUUGAAAAGACUAGCGCGUAGACUGGUGGACCGAAAAGAUGCACCACCCACCAAAAAUCGUUCGGCGAGAGAAGCCCAUGAGGCUCCCUGAGCGACCACAAGCUGAAGACCUAAGCAUGUUGUUUCUGUGCCUGCGGGGUGGCAAAGACAGGAAGCCACGCCCCCCGGAGAAACUCACAGCUUUGAGACAGACAAGCGAACGAGUGUGCCAGGCAGGUCGCUUGAAUAAUUACCCACUGGGAAGGCAGGGAGACAGCCACCUAUAAUUCUAACUCUUUCUGCAGGAAGCAGAGGGAUUCCCAGAGGAAGUGUUUUUAUCUGGAGGAGAAAGACUGGAAACUUAAUCUUUAAAACUUCAUGAAUAAGGGAAAGAGAGAUGGCUUGAGUCUCCACCUUAGACUACUAGCAGUAGUGGAGAGGGCGC